GAAAUUCAUGCCCAGUGUUCAAACUGAUAAGCCGAUCCUGAACAACAUUCCUCAAAAAGGCUAAAGUUUCUGUAGCGUUGUAUGCUUUUGCACCAACUUGUUUGAAGAAGUCUUCAGUCAAUUGCACAAAAUUUAAUUCAACAAUAAAUAGUACAAGAAUCUCUUCCCUAUAGCGGUCUGCUGUUAGCCCGCGGCCGCAUGACAUUGUGUGGUAUAUACCGCAUUUUGUGAACCAUUAUACCUAAUAAGGCAUCGCGCAUAUUGAAGCAAAAGAGCGGUACGCAGAAAACGACUUGUGUCGAACGCAGCUGUAAUGUGAUAGCACAGAAUACUAAUAAUAAGAAAUGCAAUCUCCCUACUAAUCUGUGGAAACAAAAUAGCCGCUAUCUUGAUUAGGUCCGAACUAGCGACACCAACGGGCAAAGUGAGAAAUAGGCUUUCUUCAGGGCGGGAAAAUUUGAAAUUACCGCAGGAAAGUUUGAAAUGUGAAAAAUCUUGCAUCAACUGCACAAAACAAACACAAUAAAGCUUUGUACAGCUGCCUGAGAGGAUCCUUCCUCACAGGAGACACUGCAAGGGUCCGCACUCAAACAGUAGUGUCAGAUU